rnacentral:lncRNA from 1 species
GGUUCCAUCCAAACAUGAUUACACGAAGGAGAUUAUAAUACGAAGAUAAAAAUAAAGGAGAAACUCUAGACAAAAGGGAAAGGUUACGAAAAGAAAUGAAAAAGGGGCAGUCAAAAUUUUAAAGUUUAGGCAAAAUGAAUAUAAAGACCACGGUCACAUUUCAUGGUCAUGAUUCAAUGCCAAUUUCAGUACAAAAUAGUGUACUCUCUUGUUUCAAUUUACUUGGAACAAAACAACGAUGGUGCUAUUGAAUCAGAUAUUGGCUUUGUGACACUAUCAUGCUGCUGACUGUUAAAAGCACCAAGAUGAUUAAUGAUCAGAGGAAUGUCGAAAAAUAAGCAUACCAUGACAAGUGGUGAGCAUACAGUAUCACCGUGAAUAGUGUAAGUAAUACCCUUCUUUAUGAGAGGAACAAUAAGUUUUAAGAUUUUAGCAAUUACACAUGAUGUGGCUCAAACGACAUGACAAAAAACUGACGAAUGCCAUAUUUUCCAUAUCAGACAAAAUCAACAACGUUACAGAGAUAAACUAUGAGACGCAUAUACUGGGAAAUAUUCUUAUUUUCAGAGCAGCCAUACUAAAAGAAACAGAGGGAGAUACUGAAGCCAACAUUAACACAUUACAGACAAAUAUGC